rnacentral:tRNA from 1 species
UCCCUGGUGGCUCAGACGGUAAAGCGUCUGCCUGCAGUGCAGGAGACCCAGGUUCGAUUCCUGGGCAGGGAA